GACGAACGCUGGCGGCGUGCUUAACACAUGCAAGUCGAACGGGCCUUGUCCCCUUUUUUUUUGGGGGUGGGGUUAGUGGCGAACGGGUGAGUAACACGUGAGUAACCUGCCCCUCACUUCUGGAUAACCGCUUGAAAGGGUGGCUAAUACGGGGUGUUCUGGCCUGCUCGCAUGGGUGGGUUUGGAAAGAUUCGACCGGUUUUGGUGGUUUUGGUGGGGGAUGGGCUCGCGGCCUAUCAGCUUGUUGGUGGGGUGAUGGCCUGCCAAGGCUUUGACGGGUAGCCGGCCUGAGAGGGUGGGCGGUCACACUGGGACUGAGACACGGCCCAGACUCCUACGGGAGGCAGCAGUGGGGAAUAUUGCACAAUGGGCGCAAGCCUGAUGCAGCGACGCCGCGUGAGGGAUGGAGGCCUUCGGGUUGUGAACCUCUUUCGCCAGUGAAGAAGGUCCUGCUCUUUGUGGUGGGGUUGACGGUAGCUGGGUUAAUGAAGCGCCGGCUAACUACGUG
rnacentral:rRNA from 1 species